rnacentral:rRNA from 1 species
AUGAACGCUGGCGGCGUGCUUAACACAUGCAAGUCGAACGAAGCACUUUAUUUGAUUUCCUUCGGGACUGAUUAUUUUGUGGCUGAGUGGCGGACGGGUGAGUAACGCGUGGGUAACCUGCCUUGUACAGGGGGAUAACAGUUGGAAACGGCUGCUAAUACCUCAUAAGCGCACAGCAUCGCAUGAUGCAGUGUGAAAAACUCCGGUGGUAUAAGAUGGACCCGCGUUGGAUUAGCUAGUUGGUGAGGUAACGGCCCACCAAGGCGACGAUCCAUAGCCGACCUGAGAGGGUGACCGGCCACAUUGGGACUGAGACACGGCCCAAACUCCUACGGGAGGCAGCAGUGGGGAAUAUUGCACAAUGGGCGAAAGCCUGAUGCAGCGACGCCGCGUGAGCGAAGAAGUAUUUCGGUAUGUAAAGCUCUAUCAGCAGGGAAGAUAAUGACGGUACCUGACUAAGAAGCACCGGCUAAAUACGUG